rnacentral:rRNA from 1 species
UAGGGAAUCUUCCGCAAUGGACGCAAGCCUGACGGAGCAACGCCGCGUGAGUGAAGAAGGAUUUCGGUUCGUAAAACUCUGUUGUUAGAGAAGAACAGCGCAUAGAGUAACUGUUAUGCGUGUGACGGUAUCUAACCAGAAAGCCACGGCUAACUACGUGCCAGCAGCCGCGGUAAUACGUAGGUGGCAAGCGUUGUCCGGAUUUAUUGGGCGUAAAGCGAGCGCAGGCGGUCAAUUAAGUCUGAUGUGAAAGCCCCCGGCUCAACCGGGGAGGGUCAUUGGAAACUGGUUGACUUGAGUGCAGAAGAGGAGAGUGGAAUUCCAUGUUUAGCGGUGAAAUGCGUAGAUAUAUGGGGGAACACCAGUGGCGAAGGCGACUCUCUGGUCUGUAACUGACGCUGAGGCUCGAAAGCGUGGGUAGCAAACAGG